CGGGUGCACUGAUCCAGCCGGGCCUUUCCCUCUGUGGAACCCCAUGGCCUUCACUGGCUGUGGUGGGGAAACAGGACUUUUACUUUGAAAAAAUUAGAGUGCUCCAGGCAGGCCUAUGCUCGAAUACAUUAGCAUGGAAUAAUAGAAUAGGACGUGUGGUUCUAUUUUGUUGGUUUCUAGGACCGCCGUAAUGAUUAAUAGGGACAGUCGGGGGCAUCAGUAUUCAAUUGUCAGAGGUGAAAUUCUUGGAUCUAUUGAAGACUAACUACUGCGAAAGCAUUUGCCAAGGAUGUUUUCAUUGAUAAGGAACGAAAGUUAGGGGAUCGAAGACGAUCAGAUACCGUCGUAGUCUUAACUAUAAACUAUGCCGACUAGGGAUCGGACGAUGUUAUUCUUUGACGCGUUCGGCACCUUUCGAGAAAUCAAAGUGCUUGGGCUCCAGGGGGAGUAUGGUCGCAAGGCUGAAACUUAAAGAAAUUGACGGAAGGGCACCACCAGGGGUGGAACCUGCGGCUUAAUUUGACUCAACACGGGGAAACUCACCAGGUCCAGACACAGUGAGGAUUGACAGAUUGAGAGCUCUUUCUUGAUUCUGUGGGUGGUGGUGCAUGGCCGUUCUUAGUUGGUGGAGUGAUUUGUCUGCUUAAUUGCGAUAACGAACGAGACCUUAACCUGCUAAAUAGCCCGUACUGCUUUGGCAGUUCGCCGGCUUCUUAGAGGGACUAUCGA
rnacentral:rRNA from 1 species